CACUGAAUAUCUAUUAGAAUUGCAAAAAUUCAAUAAAAUGGCAAUACUAAAUGGUUGCAAGAAUGUGGGGCAAUAGGACCUCUCAUUCAUUGUUUGUGGGAACGAAAAAUUGUACAGUUAUUUUAGAGGACAGUCUGGCAAUUUCUUAUAAAACUAGGUACAGUCUUAGCAUAAAAUUCACCAAUUACACUACUAGGUAUGUACCCAAUUGAAUUGAAAACUUAAGGCCACAGAAACACCUGUACAUAAAUGUUUAUAGCAACUUUAUUCAUAAGUGCCAAGACUGGCAGUUUACACUGUGUCCUUUGAUAGGUGAAAAUAUAAACUGUGGUAAGUCCAUACAAUGGAAUAUUAUUCAGCAAUAAAAAGAAAUGAGCAAUUAAGGCAUGAAAAGACAUAAAGGGAACUUACAAGCAUACUUCUGGGUGAAAGAAGCCUUCCUGGAAAGACUAGCUUCUAUUUGAUUCCAACUAUAUGACUUUCUGGGAAAGGCAAAAUUAUAGAGACUGUAAAGAGACAAGUGUUUGGCAGGAUUUAGCAAUGAUGGUUUUGAAUAAGAGAAGAAGUGAAACUAUUUUGUACGAUACUGGACUGGUCACUACAUUACAUUAUACCUUUGUCAAAACUCAUAGAACUAUAUAACAACAAGAGUAAGCUUUAAUGUAAACUACAGGCUUUUGCUAAUAAUGUAUCCAUAUCAGGUCACUAAUUAUAAUAAAGGUACCACACUAAUGCAAAAUGUAAAUACUAGGGGACAUUAUGAGAUUGGAAAGAAAUAUAUUUGAACCCUGUACUAUCUGCUCAACUUUUCUAUAAAUCUAAAUUUGUUCUAAAAAUAAAAUCUAUUAUUUAAUCCAUUAUUGAAAAUGAAUUAUAAAGUUGGAUAUAUAUAUAUAUAUAUAUAUAUAAAGAUAUAUCUAUCAUCUAUUGUUUUAUCUAUGUUUAUAUCCAUAUCCUAUAUUCUACACCUAUCUAUCUCUCUAGAGAUAAAGAGUCUAGAAAAUACUGAUAAAGAGUCAGUAUUGGAGUUCCCGUUGUGGCGCAGUGGUU
rnacentral:lncRNA from 1 species